rnacentral:tRNA from 1 species
ACUUAUAUAGUUUAUAAAAACAUUCCAUUUUCAAUGGAAAGAUAGAGCACUCUUAUAAGUU